CACCUCUGAAAAGUAACAAAAAAGAAUACUGUGAGUAGGCUAAAUAUAUCUAGCUGAACUGCAAGAGGCACCUAGGGACGGUGCUAUAUGGCAUGGUGGGUGCAUAUUAAAAUGUGUUUCGGGACAUUAAUGAUAUGGUAAGAUAUUGUAAGAAGUUGCACAUAAAUGGUAUGUCAUCCUCGUGCCUGGUGCAGAGGAGUCAGUACUAUUUAAAGUGACACAACUGCAAGAGGCACCAAGGGACAAUGCUAAUUGACAUGCUAAAGUGCACAAAUUACAAAAAAGAUAAAAUAUUACCAGUUUAAUAAAAAAAAUAAUAAUAUCGCAAACAAGAAGAUAAUAGAACUUGUACGAUGUGUCCUGUACCCCACCAUGCCAACCUUGUGCCUAGUGCAGAAAGCGUGAUUAAAUAUUUAUCUUUAAAGUUAUAUUUUAUCUUCAUCAAUUAACUCACAGACAGAUAUCAAAAUAUCAAGAUUCUCUACAUUAAGAAGCCAUAUCAGUUUUUGACUAGGAAUCAAAUGCUUAAAGUUUGGGCAUAGUAAGUUAAUAGUGGAAUUCAAAUAAUUU
rnacentral:lncRNA from 1 species